AAGGGCUCAGCUCCACAAGACUACCCCCUUCACAUGCCAGCAGCAAAUAUGGGGCCCAAGUUACCCACAUUUCUGCCCAGCUGACUACAAAUUCUGGUUUCCAUGACCCCCUCUCAGGUUUGAUAGUUUGCUAGAACAACUCACAAAGUGAAGGAAAAUGGUGUACUUACUAUUACUGGCUUAUUAUAAAGGCUACAACUCAGAAACAGCCAAACGGAGGAGAUGCACAGAGCAAGGUGACCAGUCCGCAUCCUGAUACUAUCUCGGAGUCCCCCAGCCAAGAAUCAUCUCAUCAGCAUAAACUCAGGCAAUGUUGAAAGGCAUUCAGAAUGGUACUGGCCAUGUAACAUCCUCAGGAAAAUGGAGAAAGGAGUCACAUCAUCUUCUGUGUUUGGAGACUGCUAUGUAAGCCAGAAUACUAGUCACACAGUGCAGAUGAAGUACAGGUUCACAAAGGUUAAAUAACUUGCCCAGGCCGAGCAUGGUGGCUCAUGCCUGUAAUCCCAGCACUUUGGGAGGCUGAGGUGGGCGGAUCACCUGAGGUCGGCAGAUCACCUGAGGUCAGGAGUUCGAGACCAGCUUGGCCAACAUGGUGAAACCCUAUCUCUACUAAAAGAAAAAUAAAAAAGGAAAAUACAUUUAAAAAAAAAUUAGCCAGGCAUGGUGGUGGAU
rnacentral:lncRNA from 1 species